rnacentral:rRNA from 1 species
UAGUCCACGCCCUAAGCGAUGCGAACUGGAUGUUGGUCUCAACUCGGAGAUCAGUGUCGAAGCUAACGCGUUAAGUUCGCCGCCUGGGGAGUACGGUCGCAAGACUGAAACUCAAAGGAAUUGACGGGGGCCCGCACAAGCGGUGGAGUAUGUGGUUUAAUUCGAUGCAACGCGAAGAACCUUACCUGGCCUUGACAUGUCCGGAAUCCUGCAGAGAUGCGGGAGUGCCUUCGGGAAUCGGAACAC